AUGGGCCAAAGGCAGCUCUUUUGCUUGGGUCGGACGCUUUUGAGAAGGUGACGUAUCUUAGUUCUUGAUGAAGCCAUGGCCUCUAUAGACAACGCAACAGACGCCGUCCUUCAGAAAACGAUCCGGACAGAGUUCAAAUAUUGCACCGUUAUUACAGUCCCCCACCGUAUUCCAACAGUUAUGGACUGCGAUGUGGUACUUGCAAUGAAUGACGGGAGAGUAGUGGAGUAUGACAAACCUAUAAAGCUCAUGGAAACUGAAGGAUCUCUCUUCCGCAAACUGGUGAACGAGUACUCGUCGUACACAUCGAACUGA
rnacentral:rRNA from 1 species